rnacentral:ncRNA from 1 species
UCAGGUGUCCGUCGCAAAGCGCGACGGGUGAAACGGGAAAUCGGUGAGCCUGGCAUUGCCAGUGCAAGUCCGAUGCUGCCCCCGCAACGGUAAGCAGGACAACGGCAAUCUGCGCGCCACUGUGUCGCCACGACAUGGGAAGGUGAUUGCCCGGGAACCAAGGGUUCCGCCUGCCAGCCCGGAGACCGGCCUGGAAAA